rnacentral:misc_RNA from 1 species
CAUAAACUACAUUGCAAAUGCUCUAGAAUGAAGUCACUAGUACAAAUCAUGUUAGUACAGUCAUCACAACAAAUGUCCAUCACUAGUUGUUAUGAUGAUCCUACUUCCACUGCCAGCUAGUGAUUUUAACUGGUCCAAUCGAUAUGCAUCAUCAAGAACUAUAAGAAUUAAUAAUAAUCCUACUUCUAUGAUGCAGCUUAUUUUUGAUCUCAUAGUUUCCACUAUAAGCAUCCCAAAUUGUUAUGUUUCUUUCCAUAAGAAUUUCAGAAAGAAGUUGCUCCUGUAAAGGAAUUACACCGGGUUUCUCCUGAACUUCUCUAAUAUUUGCAAGAAAGCAACUACCUUCAAAUUGAGAAGAGAGGUGUGCAUAGAUAGCUCUAGCAAUUGUUUAGCUCUUGCAAUUGUUGUCUUCCCUAUACCACCCAUACCACAAAUCCCCACUAAAUGCAAAUUCAUUUCCUUGAGAGUGAACUCAUUCCAACAAAAUUCUUAGCUUCAAUUGAGAAUCUUUAACUUGAUUUUCUCCAAUUUUUCAGUACUUCUAACAAUUUCUUCAAUAAGUUCUGACUCAUGCGUGUAAAGUAACAAAUACUUCCAUGGUUCACACAAAGACAUGACAAUAUACAAUUUGGUACAACAGAAAUAGCACUUUAGAUGUAAUUAUAGUUUCUGGAUGACAAAUUGACUAUUCCAUAUU